rnacentral:rRNA from 1 species
UGAGGAAUAUUGGUCAAUGGACGCAAGUCUGAACCAGCCAUGCCGCGUGCAGGAUGACGGCUCUAUGAGUUGUAAACUGCUUUUGUACGAGGGUAAACGCAGAUACGUGUAUCUGUCUGAAAGUAUCGUACGAAUAAGGAUCGGCUAACUCCGUG